AGGACUUGACAUGGGGAGGCCGUAUCCAGAGAUGGGUAUUCCCGCAAGGGCCUCCUGCACAGGUGCUGCAUGGCUGUCGUCAGCUCGUGUCGUGAGAUGUUGGGUUAAGUCCCGCAACGAGCGCAACCCUCGCCUUUAGUUGCCAUCAGGUUUGGCUGGGCACUCUAAAGGAACUGCCGGUGACAAGCCGGAGGAAGGUGGGGAUGACGUCAAGUCCUCAUGGCCCUUAUGUCCUGGGCUACACACGUGCUACAAUGGCGGUGACAGCGGGAUGCUAGGUCGCGAGGCCAAGCCGAUCCCAAAAAGCCGUCUCAGUUCAGAUUGCACUCUGCAACUCGGGUGCAUGAAGGUGGAAUCGCUAGUAAUCGCGGAUCAGCACGCCGCGGUGAAUACGUUCCCGGGCC
rnacentral:rRNA from 1 species